rnacentral:rRNA from 1 species
GAUGAACGCUGGCGGCGUGCCUAAUACAUGCAAGUCGAGCGAACAGACGAGGAGCUUGCUCCUCUGACGUUAGCGGCGGACGGGUGAGUAACACGUGGAUAACCUACCUAUAAGACUGGGAUAACUUCGGGAAACCGGAGCUAAUACCGGAUAAUAUAUUGAACCGCAUGGUUCCAUAGUUAAAGACGGUUUUGCUGUCACUUAUAGAUUGAUCCGCGCACCAUUAGCUAGUUGGUAAGGUAACGGCUUACCAAGGCGACGAUGCGAACCCGACCUGAGAGGGUGAUCGGCCACACUGGAACUGAGACACGGUCCAGACACUUACGGGAGGCAGCAGUAGGGAAUCCUCCGCAAUGGGCGAAAGCCUGACGGAGCAACGCCGCGUGAGUGAUGAAGGUCUUCUGAUCGGAAAACUCUGUUAUUAGGGAAGAACAAAUGUGUAAGUAACUAUGCACGUCUUGACGGUACCUAAUCAGAAAGCCACGGCUAACUACGUG